rnacentral:rRNA from 1 species
GUCACUGGGCGUAAAGCGCACGUAGGCGGACUUUUAAGUCAGGGGUGAAAUCCCGGGGCUCAACCCCGGAACUGCCUUUGAUACUGGAAGUCUUGAGUCCGAGAGAGGUGAGUGGAACUCCGAGUGUAGAGGUGAAAUUCGUAGAUAUUCGGAAGAACACCAGUGGCGAAGGCGGCUCACUGGCUCGGUACUGACGCUGAGGUGCGAAAGCGUGGGGAGCAAACAGGAUUAGAUACCCCCUGGUAG